rnacentral:rRNA from 1 species
CUUGCUGGGUACUCGAGUGGCGAACGGGUGAGUAACACGUGGGUGAUCUGCCCUGCACUCUGGGAUAAGCCUGGGAAACUGGGUCUAAUACCGGAUAUGACCAACUGUCGCAUGGUGGUUGGUGGAAAGCUUUUGCGGUGUGGGAUGGGCCCGCGGCCUAUCAGCUUGUUGGUGGGGUAAUGGCCUACCAAGGCGACGACGGGUAGCCGACCUGAGAGGGUGAUCGGCCACACUGGGACUGAGACACGGCCCAGACUCCUACGGGAGGCAGCAGUGGGGAAUAUUGCACAAUGGGCGCAAGCCUGAUGCAGCGACGCCGCGUGAGGGAUGACGGCCUUCGGGUUGUAAACCUCUUUCACCAGGGACGAAGCGGAAGUGACGGUACCUGGAGAAGAAGCACCGGCCAACUACGUGCCAGCAGCCGCGGUAAUACGUAGGGUGCGAGCGUUGUCCGGAAUUACUGGGCGUAAAGAGCUCGUAGGCGGUUUGUCGCGUCGUCUGUGAAAUUCUGCAACUCAAUUGCAGGCGUGCAGGCGAUACGGGCAGACUUGAGUACUACAGGGGAGACUGGAAUUCCUGGUGUAGCGGUGAAAUGCGCAGAUAUCAGGAGGAACACCG